GAGAUACCCAAAUUUAAGUGGCAUAUCCAUUCAAGGUAUAGGUUACUUUGCUGCUGCAAAGGACCGAGUAGGUAUUAUUAGAGAGACAGUGCUACCACCAGUCUCUUGUUGUUACUAUCUAUUCCUCCUUGUGACAUCUAACAACACCUGAGUGAUAUGAGAUAUAACAUCAUUGCGCUGGGCAUCUUCUUCCACCCUUCUUCCACCAGCUAGCCCAAUACAGGUUGUUUGUAUUAGAAGCUGAAGAAGAAAGUGGGGAGGGAGAAAGAAAUAUCUUGGCCCUAAUGCAAUUCCUGUACUACUGCAGAUCCAGAGGUCAGCUGCAAAGUGAUUGAAUCAACGUGCCACCCUACAUUAUCAAUCAGCCAUCAGUCAAUUUGAGUUUAUGCGGUCUACAGACAAUAAAUACAGUAUUGGGUUAUCAAAAACCAAAGCACAGCAGAAUAAUAUCCAUGCACAGAUAUUGUGCCUUUUAAAAUAAGAGUGCAACGGAACACAAGAACAAUCGAAACAGUUUUUAAAAAUACACACAAUAUUGACUCUGAUAACUCAUUGUCACUUUAAUAACUAUGGCCUAGUUUUGAUGGCUACAAGUGAGGAAUUUGGCUAUAUUUUCUUGAAAUCUCAGAGUUUGCAGUUUUCCAUUAAAACUGAAUCAAGGAAUUCAUCCAAGUUCACCAAGUGUAGAGAAAGUACUGGGGCUGUAAAUUGGGGUCUUCCAUCCUUAUAAAACAUACAGUAUAGGAGAAUAUGGACUAAUAUUUAGACAGGCCAAUUGUUAUUCUGUGCUGCAUAGAACAGGUCUUCAGACAUGAUGGCACAUAACAAUUAGGUUUUGGGCAUCAUCUUUUGGUUCUCUAGCACCAAGCAGGAAUUGUGGGAGAUGCUGUCAAUUUAUUAUUAUUAUUUUCAAAAAAUAUAUAAAGUGGCUUCAGAGACUAUCACCUGAACAUGACAAUAUGUGCAUAUUUUUGCCACUGUCUGCUGGGCAUAUGUGGGCUCAGUUCAAAUUAUGUGUGGCUUGCAAAGAUCAGGGCGCCUGGUCAUCAGAAAGGCUUUAUGCAGAUGCACCUCUGGACCAACAAAUUCCAGUUCAAGGAAUGAAAACAUCUGAUUGCAGGAAGCAAGCGGAGCAUUUCAGCGUUGAGUCUUUUUGCCGCCCUCCAGAGAGUUGAAAGUGGUAUGAAACAGGCAUUGUUGCCACUGGUGUUGCUAUAUAUUCCCUCCUUGAUCUUCUCAGCUAAACAAUAUUUUGCAGUGCUUCAAAAACAUACAAAAUCUUUUUGAACAGAGAAAACAGUGGAACAAAAGAAUCAAGUGUGUUCAGCAUGGGUAAUGAUGUCCACCUCACACCACUUUUAGCUGUCUGCACAACUAAAGCCUGCCUCCAGGGUCCCGGCUUUGUGAUGCUAAAGAUCUGGGUUCAGUUUCCCACUAUAACAUAAUGUAACCCCUUUGCCUUUAAAAAGAGAGAGAGCGAGAGCACAGCAAUACAACAUAGGUUAACCUCUAAUACAAACGUGCAACUUUCCCAAAAGCCAGCGACCUUUCUUCUGUCGUGAUUUGCAGAAUAUGGAAUGCUGAAGUUCCCAUUAUAAUUCAAAAGAAGAAAACACACAGACGCAUAUGUAGAUAUCUGGAGUUUGGCCCAAUUAGUUUCAAAAGCUGGGCAAGCGGGGGAGACACAAAUAGCUGUGGGAAAUGUAGAUGGUAACAGGCAAGAGAAGAUUGCCUGCAGAAUCUUGAUUCUAAAACAAUAAAUUAAAGCAGCCAAAAUCAACUUGCACCUCAACUUCAGUGAUAGGGAGCUAGGAAUAUGGUGUGCAGGCGUUGUCUGGGCAUCUCACACACUAUUUCUUAUUGACAGGGAAGAAAAAAUCCAAAAGGGGGGGAACCCCACACUAAUUAAUCAUUCCUUUCCUUAACCUUUACUAUGAACUUAUUGGUCUGACAUUUGAAUCCCAAUGCACAACGUUGAUUUGCAUAGAAUACAUUUAAUAUGAAGAAGGUUGUCCAUUAACUAGACAGAAGAUAUUACUUCUGUCCCUUAGGUUUAGGGACCUUGGGGAGAGAUUGCUUUGAACAUUUUCGCAUGCGCCUCUAAACAGCACGUUUGAGCCUCUGUUGCAGUUUUUGUGCCACGCGGGAUAGAAUGUGGAAGUGGCAGCGCAGGUACGUUUUAGCCCAUUGCAAGGUUAACAUUCACAUUAUAGAUUGAUUUAAGCACAAAUCAGUGUAAGGUUCGUGUUUGAAAACACUCUUGUUAGUAUUUAUAUUGUGUCAAUAAAACUCAUGUUGCUUUACAGUGGGGGGUGGAGGAGAAUAAGGAAAGCAGAUGGGUCCUUUACUCAAGGGAAAUGACAUAAGUUUAUAACGCUUUGCGGAUUCAUGGGAAUUUUUUUGAAAAUGUAGUAGGGGAAAAGGUUGAACAGUAAGAAACACGAAAUAGCAUCCAGAAGAACAGCUUGAUGUUCUUCACUUCUCUUGAUUUCUAACUGGGAAUUAGAAUAGGUCUUUUAUUCCAGUGUGUCUGGAGUAUCGUAAGAGCACAUCCACUGUCUUCCAUGGGCUGGAUUACUGCAAUGCGCUCUGUGUGGAGCUGCCCUUGAAGUUGCUCCAGAAGUUGGUCCAUGGCCAUGUUACGCCACUGCUAAAAGAAUUUAACUCGCUGCCAGUUAGCUACUGGACUAAGUUCAGUGUUCUGUUUCUGAUGUAUAACAACCUAUACAGCUUGGGAAUGGGAUAACUGAAAGGUUGUCUCACCACUUGCAUACACUGUGUUCUGCAGGAGAGGGCAUCCUUCAAAUACAUUUUAUUGGGUGGUCCACACAAAAAAGGAAUCGGGCUUUCAGUGUUGAGACACAUACCAUUUGCAAUUACCCAUCAAACAUUAGACAAGCACUGUAUCAGUUGUAUUUUUGGCACAUACUUAAAUUCUGCCUCUUCCAGCAAGCCUUUAGUAAGCAGAGGUCUUUCCCAGUCCGCAUCUGUAUUGGAAUUGUUUUCAGAUGUUCUAAUUGUUUUAUCCCUUGUGCGUCUGCCACUCUGGGUUCCUUUGGAAGGAAAUGGCAGGAUAUAAAUUUAAUGAUAAUAUAUAAGGAUAAGGAUACAAUCUAGUCUCUUGCCCUUCUGCAAGGCAUAUUGGAGUAAUCACAAGACCUAUCUGUAAACCCUGAGAUAGAAUGCCUGCAUUUGAAUGGCCCAGAAAAUGUUGUGCCUUCAUUUUAGAACUACUCUUUGGGCAUGAAGCACAAGUGGGAGAAGUUCCAGCCCAGAUGUUCCCACAGUCUAAUCCUGCACCUUAUUGCUCUGUCCCCAAGGUAGGCUUCCUGUACCAGCAGUAUAUGGUUCCAUAAGUGUUAAGUUGUGGGUGAACAUAUCAGACGACACAGCGAUUCUUCAAACAGCUCUUGUUUAUUCACAGGCCAGGACAGAACUGAACUGAAGGGUUCAGUCAGCCUGCUUAUAUAGAGCUCCAGUACAAGAUAACUGUAACAACUUUCUAAAACUAUCCAGUCACUGAACGUCACUUUCGAUCCCUUAUUUGCAUAACUAUCUACACUAUCCCCCUGCUGGCCCAGGGUGAGAACUUCAAUACAUAACAAUAAGCACCAGUGAUUAUGGUUGCUAAUCCUCAUGCAUGUAUAUAUCAGAUGAUCAAACUGGCUGCCCAGGAGUUAGUAUAAUCACUUCAACCCACUGACAAUAUUUUUAUGGUGUUGAGGUAUGACUUUUACAGUUCACAGUAAAUAUACUGUACCUACCAUGUUAAACUUUUUUUAUUUACCAUUCUCCUAAAGACAGUAAGUAAAUUAAUCAGCUCACCUGCCCUUCAACCCAUGGCACGUUCCUGGUGAGGACCAUUAUUAUUAAUUAAUUAAUUAAUUAAUCCCGCCCAUCCAGCUGGGUUUCCCCAGCCACUCUGGGUGGCUCCUAACAG